rnacentral:rRNA from 1 species
AUUUUUUAAAAUUAUUUAAUUUCAAUAAGAAAAUUUAAAAAAUUUCAUUAUAGAUUUUUGUAUUAUAUAAAGAAAAAUUAUUUUUUCAACUGUGAAGGAUUUUUUGAAAAAAAUUUAAAAAGUAAAAUUAUAAAAGUUCAUUAGGGUACCUUUUGCAUUAGGGUUUUUAGAAGAAAUUAAAUUAUUUUAAUUUCCCGAAAUUAAAAUGAGCUAUUAAGAUAUUUUUAUUAUGUGGAAAUAUAUUAAACAAUAUUUUAAUAGAAAUGAAAUUUUAUUCAUAUUUAAUGAUAUCUGGUUAUAAAUUUAUGAUUUUAGAUCAAAAUUAUUUUUUUAAGUUUUUAAAAAUUAUAUAAUUUUUUCUAUUAGGGAUAAGCUUAAUAGAAUUUCUUUAAAUAAAAAUUAUUUAUUUAAAUAAGGAAUAAAAUUUUCUAAGUUUUUUUGUAAAAAAUUUUUUUAUUAUUCAAGUUAUGUAAGAUUUUUAUAUGAUUAAAUUAAUUUUUUUUUUUAAUAAAAUUAUUAAAAAAUUAGUAAAUUUAAAAAAAAAAGUAAUGAAAAAUUAAAAUAUAUUAAUAAAAUGAAAAUUUAAUUAUAGUAAUUCGGCAAAUUAAUUUAAUUGACUGUUUAUCAAAAACAUUUCAUCUUGAAAAGUAAUAAGAUGUAUAAUCUGCUCAAUGAUUUUUUAAAUUGCUGUGGUAUUUUGACUAUACAAAGGUAUUGAAAUAAGAUUUUAAAUGAGUGCUAAGAGAAUGAUUAAACAAUUAAAAGCUUUCUUUAAUUAAAAAGUUAAAUUUAAUUUUUUUAGUGCAAAAGCAAAAAUAAAAUUUAGGGACAAGAAGACCCUAUGAAUUUUUAUUGUUAAUAAUUAAAAUUUAAGUUAUUAAUAAUUUAAUUGGGGCGAUAAAAAAAGAAUAAGUAUCUUUUUAGUUAUAAAAUAAGUUCCGUUUUUAGCGAUUAAAUGAAAUAAAUACUCUAGGGAUAACAGCGUAAUAAUUUUGGAUAGUUCAUAUAGAUAAAAUAGUUUGCGACCUCGAUGUUGGAUUAGGAUUCUUUUUUGGUGAAGAAGUUAAAGAAAGAAGUUUGUUCAACUUUUAAAUUCCUACAUGAUCUGAGUUCAGACCGGCGUAAGCCAGGUUGGUUUCUAUCUUAUAUAAAAUAGUUUAUUUUUAUAGUACGAAAGGAAUUAAAAAUUAAAAAUUUUUUAAUAAAAUUAUAUUUUAUAUUACACUAAUUUGGCAGAAAAAA